CUGCUCAUCAUCAUCGUUUUCAUCAUCGUCACGAGCUGCGAGUUCACUUCUGAGACUUUAUUAUUAACAUCCAGUGAUAAUCCAAACGCGCUCGAGCGUUUCUCCUCAGCGUCUCGUUCUCUUCUCACUGAACACACAUGAUCUCCUGUACGAGCUGUGGACGCGUGCGACGCGCGGAUCGUCGCCGAGCGCGGGGGAAGACGCGGAGAGAGAGAGAGCGCGUGCCGUCCGGGAGGCGCGUGCGGCCGGGACUGCGCGCUCGGGCUCGAGCAGCACCGGAGAGGCGCGGGGAGAGCGGUGACGUCACCCGAGUCCCGGUUAAAGACACAUGGACCUCGAGGAACACUGUGGGCAUGUGAUUGGCCGCAGUAUCGCUGUCGUCACGACUACAGAGAGCUCACAUCCCCUGGGUGCUCAUUAAACACCAUAGACUGUUCUCUUACAGGAUUCCUGCACACACACACACACACACACACUGGUGGUCCUGGUGCCCCUGAGGCUCUGAAACCAGUAAAUCCAUUAACUCACAAACAGUCAAAUGAACCAGCUUCACUUCACUCUGAAAGCAUCUCACGCACACACGCGCACAGACUGACAAAGUGUCAAGAGCAGUUUCAGCAUCACAUGGACACUCACAUCUUCUCAGUCUGGGUUCAGGCUCUCUCUCCAGUCGUGUGGAAAUGAUCCAGCGUGAAAGCAGAAGUUUCAGAUAGGCUGGAGGUGAGCGGACGGACAGAAAGUGUGAAGCUCUGUCCAGCGGCUCCUGAGGGUCUUGCAGUCGGUGGACUCUUUCAGGCACAGGAGAGACAGACACCAGCUCUGAAGACUCUGAUAAAGUUGACAGAUCAACUCCAGCGAUACUCCGUCAAUUUUAUAAAGCAGCCGGAUUAAUCUGAUAAUCCCGGCCGGAGAGAUUAGUUGGCGUCGAGUUUUAUACCCGUGUCACUCUGGAUUAAAGGGUUACGACACCCGUGUCAAGUUAGAUGCCUCGCGCUCCACUCGGAAACAGAGUGAAUUCUAGCUCGACUCAUGAAACAUGACUUGAUUAGCUUCGUGUGGUGACUAAACCUUAAAGAAGUUGAGUCUGAUCCGGUCAUGAUGGACGAUCGGAAGCCGUGAGCUCUGCCGGCGACUGUGAUCACACAUUAGGAUAAUUCACAGAGAAGAGCUCCUGUGGACCCCCGGGGACCCCGCUGCAUUGAUUUAACAUUAACCUGAUCAAGACAUCACCACCGCCAUCUAUCUGAACGAGUCAAAUGAGAAAACAACUGAAAACAAGACUGGGCUCGCGUGACCUCUGAUUGCCUUUCUCACAUGAUGUUUGGACCCGCCUCUCUGGAAUACUUGACUGUGAUUGGUCAGUGGAAACAUUCUAAGAUCUGUGUGCGGAUGAUGAAAGUGUCUCAAUUACAUUUCAUCUCUCUCUCUGAAAUCAGUGUUUCACAUCUGUUUAUUUGUUAUCUAUCCAUCUAAACAUGGUUAUUAAUGCGAAUGAUAGAAUGGAUCUCUUCAGUCCUGGAUGCUGAUUGGUGGAGAGAUGUGAUGUAUUUAUGAUAAAGCACAGCUCUGAUUUCUUCAGCAAGCUUUUAUGGAAAUAACUGUCGUGUGAGAUUUAGAUUUAGUUUCCAUGUCUCUUCAUACAGUAUGGAACUACACUAUGUAGACCAGAGGUUCUGAAACUUGUUUUGUUGUACAGCCCCUUUGUGUAGAAUGCAUUACUCUGCGGCGCCACACAUAACGACUUAUAAUCUUAAACUUUGAAUUUUAUUUCAACCAAAAAGCAUGUUCAGUUGUACAAUGCUGGAACAUCAAUUCUUUUGCUUGGUAGUCUUAUUUUUGAUUUGUUGAUUGCAUAAAAUCAAUGAUACAUUUCUAUAUUUCAUUAAAUGACACAACGUCUGUGGCCCCCCUGAAUCCAUAUUGAGUCCCCAGUUUGAGAACCACUGACAGAGGGCUCUAGACUCAUUUUUCCCACUGGUGGCACUGGUGCGACCCACUUUCUCAGUGGGCCGCACCAACUUACAAUUUGGUCGCACCUUUUUUAUAGUAAUCAUAAAGACCGCUAAUUUGUCACUCUGUCUUUUAAAAUAGUCGGCUAUAGACCACUUCAUAUUUGCGCUUUAACACUUGCAAGCCCAAUAAAUCCCAAAUAAAUGCAAAGAAACGUUGUAUUUGUUAUUUUAUACAGUUAUUAUUUAGUUUUAUAUUCAAGUUAUAAAUUGGCUAUGAAAUGAUCUCACACAAAUAUAACCUGUCACUCUUCACAAUCCUCAUGUAUUGCCCUCUUUGCAAAGAGCUGUAAUUUUGCCACUGGCCUUCUUUAUUUUCACCACAUGAAAUUAAAUUAAAUUAGCUAGCUCAAAACUCAAAAGUAAUUCAGAACUAAAUGAUUAUAUAUGUGCUUUACUACACAUUGUCAUAAAUAAACUUGAAAUACUAAACCUUACUAACCGCUCUUGUUAAAAGGUCUAAGCACGCUUGUGUUCUGAGGUGUUUUGAGUGACUGAUGUGAUGGGUUCAGACAGUGAGUCUCGACAGUGAGCUCGGUGUUUGAUAUACGAGUUGUUUCAACAAAAUGAAUCGGCUCAAAUGAGUCAUCACGUCGUGAAUCGGACAUUAGCGGACAUUGACGCGCUGUUUGUUUUUCACAUCUGAUAGGACAUCGCAAAAGAUAGAAGUUAACACAGAAAACACUUCACUCAAUAGGAUUUUUCCCUUAUGUCAGUUGCAAGUUGUGCAUCACUAAAGCAUUUUAAAGUACUUUUAAGAGGACAUUUACUUGCCCGGGCAUUUGGCCUGACAUAGUCUAUAUGAUGGCGAUGGUCUUGUGUCUUAGUGUUUUGUUAUGUUGUUUAUGUUUUUAUCUCUUUUACCUUUUUCUUGUCUUAAUCUUGGUUAUUUAUUUUUAUGCUGUUUUAUUGGAAAGCACAUUGGUCAACAUGAGCUGCUUUUAAAUGUGCUAUAUAAAUAAAUAAAGAAACAAACAAACAUGUGCGGAACACUUGUCAGGGAAGAAAAGAAGCACAUUCACACCCGGCUGUAAUUCAGGUAAAACUAUUCUCAGAAUGCACCACGUCAGACAUUGAUUCUGACUUCCGACCUUGCUUUUGAUUAAAGUGUUAAAGAUUAAAGAGAGACAGUUCAGAAAGCGAUGUGUUUGACUUCAUUAAGCGCCCAGCGGAACGAUCGGAAUAUGACAUCAAUGUGAGCCGUCUGUCCCGCCAUGCUUUUAUGCCGAUCGGUCGCGCAACACCGAAUGAAGUCAAACACACACUUUAGUUUGGAGUCAGAGAGAGUGACGAGCUCUCACAAUCACCACUCAUAAAUCACAUUAAAUGUUCUAAUAAAUCUCUGGCGGGACAAAAAUCAGUUUUACGCACAAAUUUGACCUCACGCGUUAUAAAGAAACGAUCGCAUUAUGACCAUUUUGGUGGCAGUCUAGAGCCCUGGUUAUGGACAAUAUAUCACAGCGUCUUAUUCUUUAAAACUUCAUAUAAACCCAUCAGGAUGAAAAGUGUCAGGAUUUAUGUCACAAUAAUGACGUUUUAGAAAUGAUCUCGAAGCAUUAUCUACUGGCUUAAUAUCCAAUUCUUUUCGGCGAUCUGUUUAUAAAGUCUGCCACGCGCGAUCAUCAUGUUGAAUGUUUUUAACAACAGGAAUCAAUAGCAGAAAGAGCUGAAAAUAUGUGUGUCUAUUGAUCUCAUGUUGAAUGAGAAUGUUUUAUCAUGACUAAACUAUCAUGUUCAUGUAUAACUCUACUCUGUUAUGAUAUUGCUUUGAUGUAUUCUUUGAAUCAAAACAACAUUCUCGUGACGGCCUUUGUUGUAAAUAUGAAUCUUGUUAAAGAAUGAGCUUGAUUUAAUAAAGGUUAUAAACAAAAGUAUGUCAAUAAAACCAAUACAUCAUCAUGUGUUUCUGAAAGCAAAUCUGAUAUUGAUUUUUCUUGCAUUUUUAGUUUAAAUGCAUGUUUGUCUUGUCAAGCAGUGCGGUUUAUUCUCUGUGCCCGCUUUAUGUGAAGAAGAUUUGUAAACAACAUUUCUUGAACUAUAAAUGAUCUUAUUAGAAUGACAAGCCCAAAGUGUGAGAAUGUCAGUGAUGACACCAGAAGCCCUUCUGAAUAUGAAGUAUGGUUUUAUUCGAGUUUCACUACGACGAGGUUAAAUUCAGAUUCAUUUGUGUUCUUCUCUAAUG